CAGAGUAUAGCUAAAAAGUAAAGCAUCUCCCUUACACUGAGGAAUCACCUGUGCGAAUCAGGUUACUCUGA
rnacentral:tRNA from 1 species